rnacentral:ncRNA from 1 species
UUAAUUACUGAGAUCAAGACUAGUAACAGUUAAUUAUCUGAACAGAGAGUCUUCUUUGAUAAGCUGAAAGAGAAGGUAGAAUAGUUAAUUGUGAAUUUCAUCUUGGGAGUAGAAUCUAAUCAAUUCCGGUAUUUCACCGUUAACGAAAACUUGAGUGUGGGCAUAGAAUGCCCAAACUAGGGUGGUACCGCGACGCUUCGUCCCUAUU